AAUAAUCUCAAUCAGCCAUCUCAUACAAUAAAUGAAAGUUGGAUGAGAGAAUUUUUUUACAUUUUUUGAAUUACAGGAUAUCGCAAACAAUAUCUUAUUGAAAUAAGAAAAAAUAUUCUUAUGCUCCAGCAGCUGGUGCAUUAUCCAACACCUUGGAAAUAGUGUUGACUUCAUUAAUUGAUUCCCCAAGAAGCUUCUGUUCUAGUGGAGUUAAGUCCAAUUCGAGAAUGUCCUCAACACCAUUCUUUCCAAUAAUUGUUGGAACACCCAUGUAUAUACCCUUUACACCAUAAUGGUUGGAGCAGAAUGCAGAACAUGGAACAACUGCCUUCUUGUCCUUUAGGUAAGCUUCAGCCAUCUUAACAGCAGCAGCGGCUGGUGCAAAGUAGGCAGUUCCUGUCUUUAAGUUAUCAGCAACUUCCUUCCAUGCUAUUCUGGUAUGGCACACAAUCUCAUCAAUUUGUUCCUGGGUGAUAAGACCUUGCUUAAUGAAGGAUGAAAGAGGAACACCACCAACCGAAACUGAACUAGUAACUGGUACCAUACCAUCGCCAUGGCCACCAAUAACGUUGGCACUAACAUCAGAAGCAUUAACGCCAAAAUGUUGUGCAAUGAAUGUUCUAAAUCUAGAUGAAUCUAAUACACCUGCCAUACCACAAACUUUGUUAUGUGGAAGCCCAGAAACCUUUUGGAAGUGUGAAACCAUAACAUCUAAUGGGUUUGUGAUACAGAUGACAAAGGCAUUUGGACAGUAUUUCUUAACACCUUCGGCAACUGAAUCCAAAAUACGAGCAUUUCCGAAUAAGAGUUCAGAACGAUCAUCUUUUGGACGACCUGGAAUGGAGGCUGUGAUAAUAACUACAUCAGAGCCUGAUAUAUCAGCAUAAUCAUUUGUGCCGAUAACCUUUGAUGUGGAACCAAACAUUACCAUAGAGUGGGUAAUAUCUAGUGCUUUUCCUUGUGGAAUGCCUUCUGCAAUAUCAAAAAGUACUACAUCGGCUAAAUUGUCUUUACCUACAAUAUAUGCAAUAUUACCUCCAAUUUGUCCUGACCCAAUAACGGCAAUCUUGCGUCUUUCAAUCAUCUUUAAUAUAAAAAAAAUAAAUAAAUGCUUUGAAAACAAAAAUUCGCUUUAAUUAAAC
rnacentral:antisense_RNA from 1 species